rnacentral:rRNA from 1 species
AUUGAACGCUGGCGGCAUGCCUUACACAUGCAAGUCGAACGGUAGAGGGGCAACCCUUGAGAGUGGCGAACGGGUGAGUAAUAUAUCGGAACGUGCCCCGUCGGGGGGGAUAACGCAGCGAAAGCUGCGCUAAUACCGCAUACGAUCUCUGGAUGAAAACGGGGGAUCGCCAGACCUCGCGCGAUUGGAGAGGCGGAUAUCAGAUUAGCUAGUUGGUGGGGUAAAAGCCUACCAAGGCGACGAUCUGUAGCUGGUCUGAGAGGACGACCAGCCACACUGGGACUGAGACACGGCCCAGACUCCUACGGGAGGCAGCAGUGGGGAAUUUUGGACAAUGGGCGCAAGCCUGAUCCAGCAAUGCCGCGUGCAGGAAGAAGGCCUUCGGGUUGUAAACUGCUUUUGUACGGAACGAAACGGUUCGGGUUAAUACCCUGGGCUACUGACGGUACCGUAAGAAUAAGCACCGGCUAACUACGUGCCAGCCGCCGCGGUAACAC